rnacentral:rRNA from 1 species
GAUGAACGCUGGCGGCGUGCCUAAUACAUGCAAGUCGAGCGAACAGACGAGGAGCUUGCUCCUCUGACGUUAGCGGCGGACGGGUGAGUAACACGUGGAUAACCUACCUAUAAGACUGGGAUAACUUCGGGAAACCGGAGCUAAUACCGGAUAAUAUAUUGAACCGCAUGGUUCAAUAGUGAAAGACGGUUUUGCUGUCACUUAUAGAUGGAUCCGCGCCGCAUUAGCUAGUUGGUAAGGUAACGGCUUACCAAGGCAACGAUGCGUAGCCGACCUGAGAGGGUGAUCGGCCACACUGGAACUGAGACACGGUCCAGACUCCUACGGGAGGCAGCAGUAGGGACUCUUCCGCAAUGGGCGCACGCCUGACGGAGCAACGCCGCGUGAGUGAUGAAGGUCUUCGGAUCGUAAAACUCUGUUAUUAGGGAAGAACAAAUGUGUAAGUAACUAUGCACGUCUUGACGGUACCUAAUCAGAAAGCCACGGCUAACUACGUG